rnacentral:rRNA from 1 species
UACGUAGGGUGCAAGCGUUGUCCGGAAUUAUUGGGCGUAAAGAGCUCGUAGGCGGUUCGUCGCGUCGGCUGUGAAAUCCCGAGGCUCAACCUCGGGUCUGCAGUCGAUACGGGCGGACUGGAGUUCGGCAGGGGAGACUGGAAUUCCUGGUGUAGCGGUGAAAUGCGCAGAUAUCAGGAGGAACACCGGUGGCGAAGGCGGGUCUCUGGGCCGAUACUGACGCUGAGGCGCGAAAGCCAGGGGAGCGAACGGG